rnacentral:tRNA from 1 species
GCGGUGGCUUAGUGGUAGAGCAUCUGCUUUGCAUACUGAACUUUCCAGGUUCGAUCCCUAGUAUGUCCU